ensembl:lncRNA
AGGGGAGGAGCGGAGCCGGAGUUAAAGUAGCCGCGCACUGUGCGCGUGAGAGACACGGAGCAAAGCUUCCUCGCUCGGGCAUCUCCAAGGUUUCCGCCUGGGAGCGCAUCCACGGCACUGUCAACUUCGGCACGGCAUCGCGAAAGACAGACACCAGCCACCCGCGACAGGAGACACUGGCGCCGGAGAACAUGCUGGCGUACUUUGUGCCGCGCAGUUAAACAGCAAAAGGCACUGAAUGAAGAGCGCGCGCACACCCGAGCGACGGAGCAAAACAAGGACGAGCGCAGAGGCUUCGGGAACACUUCAGGAGGAGCACCUGGCUAUACUCAAAAGAUCUCAUUAGACUGUGAUGAGCGUCAUCAUCUUCCACAGACUCAAGGUUAAUGGAGCAUGAGCUGUAGCGGUGGGUGUGUAAAACGCGCCUGCUGGGCCUGAAGGGGCAUUGUUCAGAG